ACCUGCCGGCACAGAGCCCGACGUGGGGCUCGAACUCACAAACCGUGAGAUCAUGACCUGAGCCGAAGCCGGAUGCUCAACCGACUGAGCCACCCAGGUGCCCCCAAAAUACUUGUUAAGUAGAAAAUUUCAAGCCUACUGCAGAGUAUAAAAUGGUAUAAUCAGUCCUUGUUACCCAUCAGCUAGCUUCAGUGAUUGUCACCUUAUGGCCACUUGUGUGACUCAUGCCCCAUCCAUUAACCAUUCUCCCCAUUAUUGUGAAGCAAACUCCAGACAUCAUUUCGUCUGUAAAUAUGUCAGUAUGUAUCUCUUAAAAGGGGGGGGGGGGGUAAGACAUCGUUAUAUCAUUAUCACCCUACAAAAAUUAACAAUAUUUUUCAAGGAUAAACUGGACUGUGAAAGAUUCCCCACCGUGUGUGCUGAUCCUGAAACCUGACGCCUGAGACAACGUGAUUCUGGUUCACUUCGUGAACGGUCCUACUUUCUGUUCUAGACUGCACCUCCUCGAGAGCUAAGGAGCCAGUUAGCUCACUUGGGGGCCUAGUGUAGUGCUGUAUAAUAGGCUCCCAAAUAUUUGUGCAUUAAAAUUGAUGAUUACCAAAAGACAAUGGAAAAAGGUAGGUUAAAAUCACAUAACUGUUAAACAGCUAAGGUGCAAAAUACUGACAACACCAGAUGCUGGCAGGGAGGUGGAGAAGCCCAACCUCCCAUAUGGAAAGUGUUACAGGCAUUCUAGGAAAGAGUUCGGUCGUUGCUUUUUUAUUUUAUUUAUUUAUUUGUUUGUUUAAUUUAUUUUUUAAACUUAGAGUGCAAGUGGGGGACAGUGGCAGAGGGAGAGAGAAAGAAAGAGAGUCUCAAGCAGACUCUAUGCCCAGCGUGGAGCCCGACCAGGGCUCGAUCUCAUGACCAUGAGAUCAUGACCUGAGCCAAAAUCAAGAGCGGGUCAUUCAACCUGCUGAGCCACCUGGGCACCUCGAUCAUUUCUUUUUUUAAAAAAAAAAAAGAAACAAUGCUUACCGUGCACACCCAGCACUUGCCUUCCUGCACAUUUAUCCCAGGAAAUCAAAAUUUAUGUCCGCGUAACAUGUAUACAUAAAUGUUCACGUCAGCUUUUUCUAUCAACUGAAUCCAGAAACAACUAAAAAUACCCUCCAAAGGGUGGUGGUCAAACCACGUGUGGCACGUCUACACCCCGGAUGUGACUCAGCAGCGAUGAAAGAAGCCACUGACUCACAGGGCACCGGUGCUCUCGGGAUGAUGCUGGAUGGAAAGGCCACUCCCAGAGAUCCCAUGCAUAAAGGAUGAUUCUGUCUGUUUGGCAAAAUGACAAAAUCAUGGAGCCAGACAGAGACUAGGACGCCCGUGAUUACGCUGGGCCACUCAGAUAAUCCAGGAUACUCAGCCCGUCUCGAGAUCUCUAACCACACCUGCAAAGUCACUUUUGCCAGGAAACACACAGAUGGCCAACAGACACAUGAAAAGAUGCUGAACCUCUCUCAUCAUCACGGAAAUGCAAAUCAAAACCACAACGAGAUGUCACCUCACGCCUGUUAAGGUGACAGUCAUCAAGAAGACAAGAGAUGACGAAUAUUGGCGAGGCCGUGGAGAACAGGGGACCCUUGUGCGCUGCGAGUGACCAUGUAAAUUAGCCCAGCCAUUAUGGAAAACAGUAUGUUGGUUCCUCGAAAAAUUAAAAACAGAAACUACCGUACGAUCCAGUAAUCCCACUUCUGUAUAUAUCGUGUCCGAAGCAUUUGAAAUCGGAAUUUCGAAGACAGAUCCGCACCCCCACAUUCACUGUAACAUUAUUCACAACAGCCAAGGUGUGGAAACCACCCACGUGUCCGUCCGUGGAUGAGUGGAUAAAAAAAGAUGUGGCCUAUAUACCCGACAGUAUUAUUUAGCCUCAAAAAGGAAGGAAAUCUU